GGGCUUAUAGUUCAAUGGUUAGAACGUACCGCUCAUAACGGUCAUGGUUGUAGGUUCAAAUCCUACUAAGCCUAA
rnacentral:tRNA from 1 species